rnacentral:lncRNA from 13 species
GUGAAUGGACAAGCGUUGCUGAGAUUUGUCUUUCCUCCUUUCUACAACGGUUAUGAGAAGUUCUGUUCUAAACUAUAUCCUUGGGGAGUUUCUGUUAUUGUGAAUACCAGGGGAUAUGUCAACGGCUUCUACGAGGGAAGAGUAUCCACAACCGAAUACAACGGUGGAAUGGACGUUGUGAUAUGGAAUUUAAAGCCAGUGGACACUGGCGACUACAGGUGUGCUAUUGUCACCAUUGGAUGGAAUCAUAUCUACAAAGACUAUAACCUCCAGAUUGAUAGUGGUCGACGUAGCGGUCCAGUAUCCCCUCGACCUCCGGUCAGGUCAACCAUCAGCCCCUUCAUCUUCUCUUCCUCAUCAGACACCUCUGGGCCUGUUUUCACCAAGGACCACAGUGACAGCCCCAGUGUUCCCUGGAGCUUUGGUUUACCACUAGCUGCAGGUCUUUGCAUCGCUAUGGGGAUUGUGAUCAGCUCAGUAGUCCUUGUUGUGGUUCAUCACAAAAUCAUCACGAAAAAGAAAUGUGGAGCAACUUCCAGUGACUCAGCUGCACACAUCCCCUCAGAUGUCCUUCAGGAGGAGAACAGUAUUGUCUACACCACAGUGGACUUCAAGCCUCAUGAGAACCAUACCACUGAGCUGUAUGCUAACCUACAGACACUCCGCAGCCCCAGAAGCACCGACUCACACAGAGAGCCUGCUGGGACAGUGGUGUACUCCACACUGGCUGGCAACCAACGCUGA